UACGGAGGGGGCUAGCGUUGUUCGGAAUUACUGGGCGUAAAGCGCACGUAGGCGGAUCAGUAAGUUAGAGGUGAAAGCCCAGGGCUCAACCCUGGAACUGCCUUUGAUACUGCUGGUCUGGAGGUCGAGAGAGGUGAGUGGAAUUCCGAGUGUAGAGGUGAAAUUCGUAGAGAUCGGCAGGAACACCCGUGGUGAAAGCGGCCACCUAGCGCAUAACUGACGCUGAGGCGCGACAGCGUGGGGAGCGAACGGG
rnacentral:rRNA from 1 species